AAAAAUCAAGAACAUUAUCAGGUGACACUAAAGAUGAUCGCUUCUCCAGGCUUAGUGACUAUGAUACUCUUUGUACUCGGGAGAGCCCAUGGAAACUCAGUGACCCAGAAGGAAGGUGAAGUGACCUUGUCAGAAGGGGCUUUCCUGACCAUAAACUGCACUUACACAGCUAAAGGAUACCCUGAACUUUCCUGGUAUGUCCAAUAUCCUGGAGAAAGUCUACAGCUCCUCUUCAGAGUCACAAAGUCUGGUGAAAAGGGAAGCCACAGAGGUUUUGAAGCCACAUACAAUAGAGAAACCACGUCCUUCCACUUGGAGAAAGCCACAGUGCACAAGUCAGACUCAGCUCGGUACUACUGUGUUCUGGGUGACACAGUGGCAGAAACCACAGCGGGAGCUGAGCACAAACUGAGCAGCAGCAGGGACCUGGCUGCUGGGUGUCUGCUCUGGAAUCCCUCUGGUCUUAGCACAGUCUGGGGUGUCAUCCUCUGUUUCUCUGGUGCUGUAGAAUCAUACAAACUUCAGAGCAGAAUUGGACAUCCCCAAACUCAAUUCUUCAUCAGGGAAACUGAAAACAGUGUGACACUGAUAGUUCCUCAUCUAGGACCAAA